UCACUAUCUUCAUCAUCUCUAUGUGUAGAUUUGUUUCUUGCAAAAAGAAUUCAAAACAAAACCAUAUAUAUAAAUAUUUUAGCAUAUUUUCACAAAAACAUAAGUGAUAUGGUGGUCAAGGUGUUGAAGGAGUAAAAUGGGAGGGGUUCAAAUCCCUUGGUGUGGUGUUUUUUUAAAUAUAGAAAUUUAUCCUAGAUAAUAAAUAUUAGGGUAAAUUACACAAAACUACCUCAACUAUUAGGGUUUUAUUUAUUUGUUUAUUUAUUUUUUUCUAGGUUGCAGGUAGUGGGUGCGGCGUGUAACACCCCAACCCCCAAUUAUAUGUAUAAUUUCG
rnacentral:lncRNA from 1 species